rnacentral:lncRNA from 1 species
GGCCAAAACCCUAGUAGCUUCACUUCCAUUAUUCGUGUGAUUAGGUGAACGAGGCAGGAGCCUGAUCAUACAUGUAUACUAAUUUAAAUUUGAAUGGGUCUCUAAAAAAGGUCCUCUUUGGAAGUGACAGGCCUUUCUUCCCUUUUUUUUAUAAAAAAAAUUAAUAUUUUUUUUUUUUAACAAACGAUACCUACACUAAGGAAAAAAUGUGAGCUUAACUUCACAAUAGACUAUCAAUAAUGCAUGAAGUGACAAGUAGACAAUGAAAAUCAUAAAAUAAUAUUUAGUAUGAUAUAAAGUAAGAAAUUUUAUCUAGAAUAGUAUGAGUGUAAAGUAAAGUAAGUUGAUUGUGAUGAAAAGGGAUUUUCCUUAUCAUGUAGUAAAGGAGAAAAGAAGAAGAUGUCUUGUUUCCAAAAAAAAAAAAAAGAAGAAGAUGUCUCUUGAUAUUCAAUAAAGGUUAUACAAACAAAUAGCCUUGAUAGUAUGCUUUGUAACAGGGAGAAAGUGCAUUACGUUUAACACGGCAGUGGUGGUGACCGCGGGGGCCGUGGCGGCAAUCGCAGUUGGAGAAUAUAAACUGAAAUAAGAUCACCUAAAAGAGAGAGGUAAGGAGAGAGAGUGUAUCUACGUGAUAGUUUCUCAUUAUUAUUAUUCUAGUCAUGAGGCUGCUGAUACACAAACUGAAUCCACAGAAUAUCUCAGAUCUGAGGGACAAGCAUUUCCCUUGCGCGUUUCAUAUGAGCAACCAAUAUUUGGUAGUUAGGAAGGUUGUCUCUGAUGACAGGAACUUGCUUGAAAUUCUGAACCCAUGCAUGCAAUCGAGGCAAGGUGCUUGGCUCGAGCAAUUUGACACCCACCAUUUCUUCAACGGCUUCGAAAUAAAGAGCCAGCCAUCCAUGCGUUAUGUCUACCAAGUUUAUACUAUCACCCCCAAAACUUCUUGUCACCAAGCCCUUGCUCUUCCAAUAUUUUCAGCGUUUCCAACACUGAUUCGAUUGUCUUUUGUCGAUCUUCUCCGGCAGUUAAUCCGAAAAAUGCAUUAAAACUGGGAAUCUGAUGAUGUAUAAAAAGAUAUGGCUAAGCACUUAUUUUGAUCUUUUAUAGGGAAACAUAAAUUCGUGCGCAUGCUAAUCAUAGCUAUUUGGUUUCAAUCUGAACUCCUAGAGGGCAUGAUGACAAGCUACUUAGGUAGGAAAAAUCCCCAAUUUGAUCAUCACAAUGAUUUGUCUUGUUCUUAACAAACUACAAAAUUAAACUAGUGAGAAAAAUUGAACCCAUAUGAGCAGCAUUUUUCUGUAAAUUAUUGGGAGUCUCUCAAUAUAUAGUUGAACUAGAUAAUUAAGAGAAAAGCAGAUGAGAAAUAAUUGAAACUUGAAAUUAGUCACCUGACAUACAUGGAAUUGUAUCCAAAACCGAGCCAAGGCUCUUUCAUAAGCAUCUUCAGGCAGCAGAUGAUUCUCUGGCCAAGUUUCUUCUAUGCAUUCAAGGAUGGCAAUCAACUCGGAAAUCGGUUUUCCCCGGUGAAAAAGCACCGGAACCUUCUUGUAAACUGGAUUGCACUGCAACAGAAGUUCACUCUUGUUAAAAAUGUCCUGUUCUAUGUACUCAUAUUUCACACGCUUGAGCUUUAGAGCCCACUAGAAAGUUUUGCCCGCGCGUUGCUGCAGGAUUAGAAAUUAUGUGAAAAAUUAUGUUGUACAGGUAUAAACACAUCAACUUAUAUCACAUGUAAUUAAAUCAAGCAAUCUCUAAACAUGAGAAAUGGAUCUUAGAAAGUAUAAAUCCUACCUCAUAAUAUUAAGGGAAGUGUUAUUGGCACUCCAAAAAUCUCAUUCUACACUCCUCACAAGUGUAUUUUUCUUUUCUAAUAUAGAAAGUUUGGAGUGUAGAAUGAGAGUUUUGGAAUGCUAAUAACAAUUCUCAUUUUAUACAAUUAACAAAUUCUCAGUGUAUGAUCACAAAAAGGUAUAGAAAAGUAAUUCAAUUUUUAAAUUUCAAAAAUGGGAAAGAUAAAAAAAGGGUCUAAAUUCUCAGUUCUCAAUAUAACGAAAAUUAUGAUAUCAUUUUAACAUGAACUCGGGUUUUAUCUCGGUCACCAGCAUUAAUAAAGCUAGUGACUUCAACCUGUGCAAGCAAACAACUAAAUUAGACGCAAGCCAACUUCAAUUUAACCGAAUCAAAAAAGCAACCACGAUCAACCAACCACUCUUCUUCCCAUAUGUAGAAGCUAUUCUUUGUUUGCCUUUGUGAGCAGUGCACUUUUCACUCUCUACACACAAAAUGAACACUCAAAAUGCUCAGCAACAUUAAAAAACUUAAUAAGUUAUAUGUAUACAUUACUAUAUAUGUAUUUGGACAUAAAGUAUAAAAAUUUACUAUCAGAUUAACAAAAGAAGUAAUUAUGAAUUGGAAUUAAAUGAUAUUAUAGUUGUUAAAAAAAUACCUAACCAAUUUUUACACAUAGCAUCAUAAAUUGUUAAAAAAAAAUAACAGCACUGAAAUAUCUAAUUACUCAAAUCUAUAAUUCUAUUAAAACACAUCACUGAAAACCCCAAGGAGAGAGGUGCAUAUUCCUAACCUUGCACGGUUAAAAUUGCAUUUUGUUUGAGGGGAGAAAAAUGAUCAGAACUGAUAAGUCAAUAGUUAAAUAGGUUUACUCUGGUGUCAAAUGUUUUUUAAUACAUACAGAAUACUCUCUAUUUAAAUCAACAUUGAUUCUUGCAUACCUUCGGUUAUAUAAUGUUUGGAGUUGAAUGUAUAUAUACCCAGAUGGGAAUAAUUCUUUAUCCGAAACUUAGAACAAACCAACUCAUCCGAGUACGCAAUGGAACUUAGCUACAACUCCAAUAUAAUCAAUGUAAAUUAUUAUAUUGAAACAAUGUGAUCAAACUUAAACAAAACUCCAAAUCCACCAAAAGUUUAAAUUUCUUACCUUGAGUACAGAGGGCUUCAGAAAACAACAACAUUUUAGCCUGGAAAUAAAAUCCACAAAAUUAGAAAAAUGAAAUUUGCAUAGAAUUAACAGUUCUAAAAUGAUAGAUAACAAUAAUCUCACACUAUAUUAUACAAAAAUUUAACCACAAAAAUAGAAAAUGGACAGAUUCAUAUAGGAAAGCAGCAGCAGAGCAACUACUGGAUUCUCUCAAAGAUAAUAUUGUCAAAUUUGUAAGAUUAAGCAAGCAAGAGAGAGUACUGGCUUGCAAAGCGUAAGUUGUUAAUCGACACAUUAUUCUGUCCUAAGUUAAGCAACUGAAGGUUUGUUAAGGCACAUAACAUAAUCAAACCAAGCUUAAAUAUUUUUAAAUACAACAGAAGAAUUUAUUUUUUUUCAAAACCAAGAUAAAAAUCUGAAAAAAAACACAAAAUGCAAGGUAUUCUCUGAGGAAGGAAAGAGUUGCGAACUGCAGAAGACAACAGUUGAGAACGACAAACCACAAAUUCGCCAUAAACCGAAGCAGAGUUGUGAGAACAGACGAAAAUUAAUCAAUCAAUUUCAGAAAAAUAGAGGAAAAAUUAACAAACCUGAUCAAAUAGGAUCUGGAUAAAUCUUAGAACAUACCUGAGUUCAAUUCAACUUGUAUGACAACAGUCCCAACUGUGGGAUCGCCGAUGAUAACAGAGACCAACACCCUAAAGAACCGGAUUCAAUGAGAAGGAAUAGGAGGAAGAAGACACAACCCAAGUUUAAACAUCAUAGAAAAGAAACUAAUGUCAGUACCAUAGAGUUUGAUUUGGGGAUGUCUUUUCUUGUUAGACUAAACAUAUAAACCAAGAUCGUGUAACAUGAAUCACAGCCAUCCAAACACAAACUGUAGUUCAUAACUAUUGUACAGAGUAGAACUCUUACCUGCAGAUCCAGCUUUACACAAAAGCACAACCAUCCCAAAAACCAAAAAUAAGGAACGUAGGAUUUUAGAACCCUGUAAGAAAGGGAGAGUAAAGGAAAGUUUAAUGAUAUAAACAAACAAUAGAACAGAUCCCAUAAGUUCCCUAAAAUGAAUGCUACAAUAUGCACAAAAUGUAACUAUUAGUAAUAGUAACCAAUGUAAUCAAACAUAAAUAAAAUGGUAUCGUCAAUUUUGUUCUUUUUCAUAGAGCUCUGAGGUUGAGUCUUAUGAAAUGGCGAGUUUGAUACAAAUUAUAUUUCUGGCAAAUAUUCCUCUAAUCAGAUGCUCUACCCACUUGACUUCAUCUUCAAUAGCAUCAUUAAGAUCCAAUACAUUCUCAAACAGGGAUAUUGCCUUGGCAUUCUCUUCAUCCUGAAGAGUUUAAUCAUGAUCACAAUUCCGAACUCCAAGUCAAUCAAUUAUCUACAUCAAUGGACUAAUAAAGCAUCCAAUAACAAUAAAAAGUACCCACCUCAACUUUCUUGAAUAUAUCUUGGAAUCCCAACUCCCUAAGAACUUGCUCCCGAAGUCUGCAAAGAAGCUGGAUUUCCCCAACAAAGCAGGAAAAAAAAAGAAAUGUGAAUGCUAGGAAAACGAUGCCGCAAUAAAUCAUGACUACAACAUAAUAGAAAGUGAGAAAUCAACUCAAAUCAAAAUUUCGAGCUUACAAUGCAAUCCGGCGGGCCGCCGUGACUCUCAGGAUCCUUUUUCAAGUCCUCCAGUAUCUCAGUGUACCCUUCAGGCAAAAAUACAAAAAAUUGCAGGCAUUUCCGAAAACCCAAUUCACUCAUCGCAAAACAAUCAGUAAAGUGUGUAUCUUUGAGCAAAUUUCUUAGCUCUUGCCGGAGCGUCGGGAACCGAAGCGUCAGACUCAGCUCGUUUCCUGCCGAAACCAAUCAAACCCAUUAACGAAAAACCCAAGAAAUUAAGAUUUAUGAUGGAGGUUGGGGAAAGGAUGAGGAUUAUCACUUGAAGGAGGGGGUGGAAUUGUAGAAGAGGUCGAUCCAGGAGAGCUCAGUGGGAGUGGGCUUGCGGGGAUUGUUGGAAGGGAAUAUGUAGGGGAUGGUGCAGGCUCUGUAAUUGAAUUCGAUCGGCAUCGUCAGCAGUGGAAAUAAAGAGUGAAUUAGAAGAUUUAUCAGAGAGCUUACCUCUACAGUUAUUGCCGACUUGAACAAAUCAAGCUUCUGUAGCAGUCUACAGAUCACAAAGCUGAGAGAUGGUGAUUGAAACUUGACAGGGAUGUGGUUUAAGUUUUUCUGCGGUGAAGCGGUGAACGAUAGAAGAGAUGAAGGGCUGGUUUGGUAUUGCUGUGCUUUGAAAAAAAACUGUUGUGAGAAUAAGCGGCUAUGCUGUGAGAAUAAGCGACUGUGAAAUAAAUCAGCGGAGUGUUUGGUAAACUUUUUUGUAAAAGUGAUUUUGGAAAAAAAAAGCAGUCUGAUAGUGGAUCUUUUCAUUAAAGAAGCACUGUAGCUCCGUGUGCUUUGAAAAAAAAGCCAGUUUUCCAAAGCUGCAAAUAGCAGCUUCAGCUUUUUCCUUUGAUUUCAACUUAUUCUCAUAGCAGCUUCCAAAAUAAGUUAUUUUUUUUCAGUUUACCAAACACCUAAAACCCUCACAGUUUUUUUUCAUGGGUGCUAUUUUUUUUAAGCACCUCACUCCCAAACCACCCCGAAGAGGGAUGAAAGUUUGCCAUAUGGGGUGAGGAUGGAGGGGCGAAGAAUGAAGAAAGCGGUCGAGGAUCCCACGCGUCACAAAACUGUUACUCAUUUGACAGCAAAGCAAUAGGGGCAAAAUUGAAAUAACAAAAAAGAAGCAGGGAUGAAAAUGGAAGAACACUGUUAAUGAACAGUGUUUUUUGUGUUGGGUUUUAGUAUAUGUAUAAUAUCACUCUGUAAACAAACGGACUUGGCCAAGACCCUAGUAGCUUCACUUCUUCCAUUAUUCGUGUGAUCAGGUGAUCGAGGCAGGCCUAAUCAUACAUAUAUACUAAUUUAAAUUUGACUGGGUCUCUAAAUAAAUUGUAAGAAAAUGAAAUUGCAGAGUCACCCUAUUUGCAGAGUCGUUUUUUUUUAUUAAAUUUUAUUUAUUUAUAUAUAUAUAUAUAUUUUGUUUUUUUUGUUUUUUUGAAGAGCCGGUCUUUCUUGUUUUAGGGUAGCAAAAUUAUAAAAAUUUGCCCAGUAUCUGUGGUUUGCAGAUAAUAUCACUGUUCUUUCGCGUCUAAUAAAGUGAUUAAUUACUCAUUCUAAAAUUUUACUAGGAGAAGCAAUUUUUGCACUCUGUUCUACUAUUUUGUACACUCAUAUUUGUUUAGAUUGUUUGAACAUUUUGUUUAUAUAUGCAAGAAAAGGUCGAAAACGAAUAGGGUGUACAAGAAGAGUGAAAAUAUGAGAAAAUCACUUGUAUUUUCUCAAAUGACAGAGGAGAAGGUGCAUGAUUUGUUUUCUAGUUCUUGGCGUGAGAAAACAAUGGGCUUGUUUACCCAAAAAUACAAAAGGGCUGCCGUUUCAAACUCAC